rnacentral:tRNA from 1 species
GUAAAUAUAGUUUAAAGAAAAACUUUAGAUUGUGAAUCUAACAACAGAAGCUCACUACCUUCUUAUUUACC